rnacentral:rRNA from 1 species
UUCGAUCCCUGGCUCAGAUUGAACGCUGGCAGGAUGCUUUACACAUGCAAGUCGAACGGCAGCACGGACUUCGGUCUGGUGGCGAGUGGCGAACGGGUGAGUAAUGUAUCGGAACGUGCCUAGUAGCGGGGGAUAACUACGCGAAAGCGUAGCUAAUACCACUAUACGCCCUUCGAAGCGGGGGACCUUCAGACUCACUAUUAAAGCGGCCGAUAUCAGUUAGCUGAAUUGGUGGGGUAACGGCUCACCAAGGCGUCCGUAGCUGGUUUGGACGACCAGCCACACUAGGACUGAGACACGGCCCCAGACUCCUACAGGGAGGCAGCAGUGGGAAUUUUGGACAAUGGGAAACCCUGAUCCAGCCAUCCCGCGUGUGCGAUGAAGGCCUUCGGGUUGUAAAGCACUUUUGGCAGGAAAAGAAACGGCACGGGAUAUUACCCCCGUGCAACUGACAGUACACCAGAAUAAGCACCGGCUAACUACGUGCCAGCAGCCGCGGUAAUACGUAGGGUGCAAGCGUUAAUCAGAUUACUGGGCGUGGCAUUGCGCGAGCGGUUCCGGAAGAAGAUGUGAAAUCCCAGAGCUUAACUUUGGAACUGCAUUUUUAACUACCGAGCUAGAGUGUGUCAGAGGGAGGUGGAAUUCCGCGUGUAGCAGUGAAAUGCGUAGAUAUGCGGAGGAACACCGAUGGCGAAGGCAGCCUCCUGGGAUAACACUGACGCUCAUGCACAGGCGUGGGGAGCAAACAGGAUUAAGCCUGGUAGUCCACGCCCUAAACGAUGUCAACUAGCUGUUGGGGCCUUCGGGCCUUGGUAGCGCAACUAACGCGUGAGAUUGACCGCCUGGGAGUACGGUCGCAAGAUUAAAACUCAAAGGAAUUGACGGGGACCCGCACAAGCGGUGGAUGAUGUGGAUUAAUUCGAUGCAACGCGAAAAACCUUACCUCCUUGACAUGUCUGGAAUCCCGAAGAGAUUUGGGAGUGCUCGCAAGAGAACCGGAACACAGGUGCUGCAUGGCUGUCGUCAGCUCGUGUCGUGAGAUGUUGGGUUAAGUCCCGCAACGAGCGCAACCCUUGUCAUUGUUGCUACGGCACUCUAAUGAGACUGCCGGUGACAAACCGGAGGAAGGUGGGGAUGACGUCAGAAUCCUCAUGGCCCUUAUGGGUAGGGCUUCACACGUCAUACAAUGGUCGGGACAGAGGGUCGCCAACCCGCGAGGAGGUAAUCCCAGAAACCCGAUCGUCGGAUCGCAGUCUGCAACUCGACUGCGUGAAGUCGGAAUCGCUAGUAAUCAUGAAUCAGCAUGUCGCGGUGAAUACGUUCCCGGUCUUGUACACACCGCCCGUCACACCAUGGGAGUGGGUUUUACCAGAAGUAGUUAGCCUAACCGUAAGGAGGGCGAUUACCACGGUAGGAUUCAUGACUGGGGUGAAGUCGUAACAAGGUAG